UCAUGGCAAAACAUGUAAUGCCAUUAGGUCAGAAGUAUCAGGUGUCAGGUCACGCUGACAUCGCGUAAUACAAUCGCGCAAUGAAAACAUGGCUUUUUCCCCUAAAAUACAUCAUUUCUCGGUUUAUAUAAAACAUUCUUAAUUUGUACACUCGGCUUGGGACUCCUUGUGUUAUAGCGCUAUUUCUUGUCGUAAAUCUUUCUUUUGGAUGUUAAAAAAAACUCUGUCACUUUUGCGUCAAAGUUGCGUAAUAUUUCAUUGUUUAGUAUAAAAAUUACUGUGAAUGCGCCUGCGACCCGCGUGUAAAGCGUCGUAACCCUGUUUUGACAUGCGUAAUGUUAAAAUGUACACGCAGAUUCACAAAGCCUGGGCCCUUGCGGUCAUUUUGGUGGGAAAAUUUUACAUUUUGACGCAAUUUAGACCCCG